CCUGCUAAGAAUCUGCCUGCCUGAGUGAUGCAGCCAGGCUCCCUUGUUCCCUGGGGCAAGGAACCAGUAGAGGGAUAGGGAAUCACAGUGUUUCCCGGCUGCAAGGGCCCUUGGAGAUGGUUUUACAGAUGAGGAAGCAGAGUCCAGAGAAAGGAAGUGAUCUGCUGGGAACCACUGUACUUUUCACACAAGCAACUUUCCGGGCAUCUGCUAUGUGCUGUCCACAGGAUGGCGAGGGGCCUCAUCUUGCAGCCUGAGGGAACAGCCUCAUAUUCAGGCUUCCUUUUGCCUUCUCUGCUUCACCUUGAUUGAAGCUACCCUUCUCUGCACCUUCUUUAAGACUAUCCUAAACAUCCUGCCAUUAAUUAGCUGAACAGCCCAUCUAGUAAACAAGACCGAUGGUUGAGGGGCUGGAAAAGAGG
rnacentral:lncRNA from 1 species